rnacentral:misc_RNA from 1 species
UCGGAAGGUGCGGCUGGAUCACCUCCUUUCUAAGGAUGAGAAGCUGAUACGUCAGCUUCUCACGUGAGAUUUUUAUCUCUUAGAAAUAAAAAAAAUCUCAAGGUAAACUUUGGAUAUUCUAUAUAAUAUUUCAAAACCGAACCAACAAAACUAAAUAGCAAAAAAUAUUUCCAGUCAAGAAAGAAA